AUACGAGGGGAGCAAGCGUUAUUCGGAAUUACUGGGCGUAAAGCAUGUGAAGGCGGCUUGUUAAGUCGAGUGUUAAAUCCCAUAGCCUAACUAUGGGGCUGCAUUCGAUACUGGCUUGCUAGAGUGCGAGAGAGAGAAGUGGAAUUCUUGGAGUAGCGGUAAAAUGCGUAGAUAUAGGAAGGAAUACCAGUGGCGAAGGCGGCCACCUGGCUUGAUACUGACGCUGAGGCGCGAAAGCGUGGGGAGCGAACAGGAUUAGAAACCCGGGUAGUCC
rnacentral:rRNA from 1 species